AACCUUGAAGUAUAAAUACUAAUGUUUGUGUUGCAAGGAGAAAGAUAUUUAUUUUGCAAGGAACAUAGCAAGUUGGAAGAAUACAAGAAGGCCUCCAAAGUUCUCAAGAAAAGUUGGAAGAAAGCUACAAUUCAUUGGCCCAAGUUUCAAGUUCAAAGAAUUCAAGUUGAAGGAGCAAAUUCAAAGAAAAAUUCAGAAGAAUAGUCCUCGAGUCGACUCCUGGAAGUUUCGAGUCGACUCUGGCACUCUAGAGUUUCAAGGAAUAGUGCUCGAGUCGACUCCGGGACUCUACGAGUCGACUCCGACUGAGAACAAACAAAAAGACAGAGAGUUGAUUUUCUGCGCUACAGUGAUCUCGAGUCGACUCCCAACUUCAGGAGUCGACUCCCAAAUUCAGGAGUCGACUCCCAGCUUCAGGAGUCGACUCCCAGCUACAGUGCCGGCAGACUACUAUUCACAGAUC
rnacentral:lncRNA from 1 species